rnacentral:tRNA from 1 species
GUGUCUGUAGUUUAGCCGGUAGAACUGUAGUGGCCUUGCCACUAUAGCGGGGGUUCGAAUCCCUCCGGACACC